AUUGAACGCUGGCGGCAGGCCUAACACAUGCAAGUCGAGCGAGAGGCGGGCGGGUGAGUAAUGUAUGUGGACUGUCCGAUAUAGAGGGAUAAAUACACGAAACGGUAGCUAAUACCGCAUACUAUCGGAUAACCCAUAUGGGAUUAGCUCGUAGGGGAGGUAAUGGCUCACCUAGGCGACGAUCCCUAGCUGGGCUGAGAGGGUGAUCAGCCACACUGGGAGUGAGAAACGGCCCAGACUCCUACGGAGGCAGCAGUGGGGAAUAUUGCACCAUGGGGGCAAGCCUGAUGCCGCCAUGCCGCGUGUAAGAAGAAGGCCCUAGGGUUGUAAAAUACUUUCAGUCGGGAGGCGUUACCGACCGGAGAAGCCCCGGCUAACUCCGUGCCAGCAGCCGCGGUAAUAC
rnacentral:rRNA from 1 species